UACAGAGGGUGCGAGCGUUGUCCGGAAUCACUGGGCGUAAAGGGCGCGUAGGCGGCUUGAUAAGCGUGCGGUGAAAGCCCGGGGCUCAACCCCGGGUCGGCCGUGCGAACUGUCGAGCUGGAGCACUGUAGAGGCAGGUGGAAUUCCGGGUGUAGCGGUGGAAUGCGUAGAGAUCCGGAAGAACACCGGUGGCGAAGGCGGCCUGCUGGGCAGUGGCUGACGCUGAGGCGCGACAGC
rnacentral:rRNA from 1 species